GGAGUUCCUUCCUUCCGUCUCCGAUUUGUUUUCUCUACCCGUACCGCUUCAUCUUUUUGGUUGUUCAAAUUAAUCAGCCUCUUGUUUUGUUGUUCGCGAAUUGGUUAUCAAAGUUGAUUUCUUGAAAAUCAAUAAGGGGUUAGAAGCUUCUACCCAUUUUUAAUCCGAAUAGAAUUUGUUCUGGGCUGAUCUAAUCCAACCUUUUCAGGUCAGAAAGCUUGCUUAAAUUUCGAUUUUUAUUGAACUCAAGAAUGCUUCUUCAGUUUUUCAGGUUGAUUUGAAGGAACUUUUUUACCCAAAAAAGCUAGGGUUUCCUGGAAACGUUGGUCUUCGAAUAUUGGGGUUUUUGUGUGCAAGCCCUUUGUGAUCAAGAAAACUUCUGUCUCCUCGCUCUAGAAGAGAACUGAGAAGAUUCUGAAAGAUUGUGUGUAAAUUCCAUCUGGGUUCUUCAAAUUCAAGCCCCCCAAAUUUGAGCAGUUUGUGUUACCCGGACUUAUCGAAUCAAGGCAGCUGCAAGGAAAUUUGAGCCUUGGCCUGUAGAGAUACGAUUUUGCAAGGAAGCUAGGUUCCCAUACUGCAGGGGUUUGGAGCCUUGCACUCAUCAAUAUCUGAACAGAAAGAGAAUGAAUUAAAUCCAUGAACAAUAGCCAUCUUAACAGUGAAUUCAAAUCAAUGAGCAUUACUAAUGGAUGAUUUGAAGUCUCUAUGGAUGAUUUGAAGUCGAGAGUCCUCGUGUAAAUAAAGA
rnacentral:sRNA from 1 species